UGGGGAAUAUUGCGCAAUGGGCGGAAGCCUGACGCAGCAACGCCGCGUGCGGGAUGACGGCCUUCGGGUUGUAAACCGCUUUCAGCAGGGACGAAGCUUUUGUGACGGUACCUGCAGAAGAAGCACCGGCCAACUACGUGCCAGCAGCCGCGGUAAUACGUAGGCAGCAAGCGUUGUUCGGAGUUACUGGGCGUAAAGAGUGCGUAGGCGGUUUUCUAAGUUCGGUGUGAAAUCUCCCGGCUUAACUGGGAGGGUGCGCCGAAGACUGGGAAGCUGGAGUGUGGGAAAGGCAGGCGGAAUUCCUGGUGUAGCGGUGAAAUGCGUAGAUAUCAGGAGGAACACCGGCGGUGUAGACGGCUUGCUAGACCAUAACUGACGCUGAGGCACGAAAGCGUGGGUAGCAAACA
rnacentral:rRNA from 1 species